GAAUAAGAAGCGAUUUUUGCAUUCAGUUUCGACCUGACCCUAGGUAUCCCGGUACCCUUAUUCU
rnacentral:tRNA from 1 species